rnacentral:lncRNA from 10 species
GAGCGUCCUCCUUUUGUGCGAGCGCCGGCGGCUCGGCUUCUCGAAGGAGAAGAAACUGAGGCCUGGAAUUUGAUUAACUCAUUCAAGGUUACCCAGUUGGUAAGUAACAGAGCUGGAAUUUGACCAUGGUCAUCUGGCUCCAGAGCCAGCACUCUUAACCACACUUCCUAUGAGGAAAAAUUAAAGUGGAUGGUGAUGGCUACAAGAUGGAUUUCAGUUGCAUAGAAAUAAGAACCUCCUACCUCUGUUGAAAUCAGAAUACAUAUACACCCCUUCAUUCACUCUAUGAAUAUUCAUUCAUUCCAUGAACCUACAAGGUUUUUAGGUCAAAUUAUUAGUUUAAAUAAGAACUAUAGGCUGGGCGCAGUGGCUCACACCUGUAAUCCCAACACUUUGGGAGGCUGAGGUGGGUGGAUCACUUGAGGUCAGGAGUUCAAGACCAGCCUGGCCAACAUGGUGAAAUCCCGUCUCUACUAAAAAUACAAAAUUUACUAAAAAUACUAAAAAUACAAAAUACUCACUUGAACCCAGGA